GAUGAAGAACGUAGCGAAAUGCGAUAAGUAAUGUGAAUUGCAGAAUUCAGUGAAUCAUCGAAUCUUUGAACGCACAUUGCGCCCGCUGGUAUUCCGGCGGGCAUGCCUGUUCGAGCGUCAUUUCAACCCUCAAGCUCUCCGGAGUUUGGUGUUGGGGCGCCUGGGGCUUUUCGACCUCAGGGCCCUCAAGUCCAUCGGCGGGACCGCCAGGACACUGAGCGCAGUAGUAUUAUUUCGCUCGGUAGGUUCUUCCACGGCGGGUCGAUCUGGCCGCUAAACCCCCCAAUUCUCACCAAAGGUUGACCUCGGAUCAGGUAGGAAUACCCGCUGAACUUAAGCAUAUCAAUAAGCGGAGGA
rnacentral:misc_RNA from 1 species